rnacentral:lncRNA from 1 species
GUGGAGCAGUGAAGAGUAGUCUAGUAGGCAGCAAAGGGCCCCACAUAAUCGAACCGUCCAUCAAGAUUCGAUUAGGCACACAGGCAACUCUGUUGGCACACAUAUUAUGGCCGAUAGACUGAUAAAAAAUCUAUAACAAAACUCUUUAUUAGAACUAUAAAAAUUUUUAUAUGUAUGCUUUAAUUAAUUUAAUUUUAUUAUUUACUUUGUAGACA